GAUGAAGAACGCAGUGAAAUGCGAUAAGUAAUGUGAUUUGCAGAAUUCAGUGAAUCAUCGAAUCUUUGAACGCACAUUGCGCCCAUUAGUAUUCUAGUGGGCAUGCCUGUUCGAGCGUCAUUAAGUCCACUUAAGCCCUGCUUAGUGUUGGGAGACUGCUCCAGCGGUGCUACCCUGUAGCUACCCUGCAGCUCCUCAAAGACAGCGGCGGAGUUGUGGUAUCCUCUGAGCUUAGUAACUUGUUCUAGCUUUCGAGUACACCACUUCCCCUGCCGUAAAACCCUUAAUUUUUAAUGGUUGACCUCGGAUCAGGUAGGAAUACCCGCUGAACUUAAGCAUAUCAAUAAGCGGAGGA
rnacentral:misc_RNA from 1 species